AGUGGUAUAACUGGGCCAAAUGGUGGUUACAUUUCUAAGUUUAUGAGGAAUCUACAUACUUCUUUCCAGAGUAGUCACACCAAUUUGCAGUCUCACCAGCAAU
rnacentral:pre_miRNA from 1 species